UUCAUUUUAAAACAUUCGUUUUAAUAACAUUUUUAAACCUGUUCUUAUCAGUUUAAUAUCUGAUAUGUCCUUAAUUUGAGGACUGUAUAGUAAAUAGAUUUUUGGAACAGGGGGAUGGAAUAGGAGCUUACUUUGUCCACCCCAUGCAUUAACCUGGUAUUGCAGUGUCUCCAGGAACAGUGCCUCUCCU
ensembl:snRNA U2 U2 spliceosomal RNA